CCUACGGGAGGCUGCAGUGGGGAAUUUUCCACAAUGGGCGAAAGCCUGAUGGAGCAAUACCGCGUGGGUGAAGACGGUUCGUGGAUUGUAAAGCCCUUUUCUUAAGAAAGAAUAAAUGACGGUACUUAAGGAAUAAGCACCGGCUAACUCUGUGCCAGCAGCCGCGGUAAUACAGGGGGUGCAAGCGUUGUCCGGAAUGAUUGGGCGUAAAGCAUCUGUAGGUGGUUCUUAAAGUCAACUGUUAAAUCCCAGGGCUCAACCCUGGAAAAGCAGUU
rnacentral:rRNA from 1 species